rnacentral:rRNA from 1 species
AACGAACGCUGGCGGCAUGCCUAACACAUGCAAGUCGAACGAGACCUUCGGGUCUAGUGGCGCACGGGUGCGUAACGCGUGGGAACCUGCCUUUAGGUUCGGAAUAACUCAGAGAAAUUUGAGCUAAUACCGGAUAAUGUCUUCGGACCAAAGAUUUAUCGCCUUUAGAUGGGCCCGCGUUGGAUUAGCUAGUUGGUGGGGUAAAGGCCUACCAAGGCGACGAUCCAUAGCUGGUCUGAGAGGAUGAUCAGCCACACUGGGACUGAGACACGGCCCAGACUCCUACGGGAGGCAGCAGUGGGGAAUAUUGGACAAUGGGCGAAAGCCUGAUCCAGCAAUGCCGCGUGAGUGAUGAAGGCCUUAGGGUUGUAAAGCUCUUUUACCAGGGAUGAUAAUGACAGUACCUGGAGAAUAAGCUCCGGCUAACUCCGUGCCAGCAGCCGCGGUAAUACGGAGGGAGCUAGCGUUGUUCGGAAUUACUGGGCGUAAAGCGCACGUAGGCGGCUUUUUAAGUCAGGGGUGAAAUCCCGGGGCUCAACCCCGGAACUGCCCUUGAAACUGGGAAGCUAGAAUCUUGGAG